CAACAUGAUGAUGAUUCUCCACCUUCUAAGAGACCAAAGACCAACAAACUACCACAGCCACCAGUUCCGGAACCUGCCAAUGAUGGGCAACGGAAAGUGAGGGAGUUGAGAAGUGGAAUAAUCAUAUCGCUGAUCUAUGUAAACAAGUUGAAGAAUUGUCUGACAGAAAAUACAUGAACUUGUGAAUUCAACACGUGAAGAUUUACAACUUGAUAAACCAGCUUCAGGAGUCGACAGUAAAGGAAGAAUGGUAUGCCAGAAUCACUAAAUGAAGAAAGAUGGUGGAUCAGCUUUUCUGCAAAAAAACUGAAGCCUUGGGGAGCACUGAAGCCAAGGUUCUACUGUACCAAAAAUUUGAAGGCCAUGCGAAUGAUCUGUAUGCGGAAGGACUACCAGAAAACAUUCCUUUCAGAAGUCCCUCGUGGUAUGGAAUCCCAAGGCUGGAAAACAUCAUUCAAGUGGGCAAUCGAAUUAAAUUUCUUAUUAAAAGUCCAGAACUUCUUACUCACAAUACAACUGUAGUUACUCAGCCAAGAACAAAUACAACAGGUCUCAAGCUCUUGGACUCACUGAGGCAGUAAAAGUACCAUAUUCUGUGUUUGAAUCAAACCCCGAGUUCCUGUAUGUAGAAGGCUUGCCAGACAGAAUUUCCUUUCCAAGCCCUACCUGGUUUGGAAUUCCAUGACUUGAAAGGAUCGUCUGUGGAGUAAUAAAACCAAGUUUGUUGUUAA
rnacentral:lncRNA from 1 species